UAUUGGGCGUAAAGCGUCCUCAGGUGGUCAGCCAAGUCUGCCGUCAAAUCAGGUUGCUUAACGACCUAAAGGCGGUGGAAACUGGCAGACUAGAGAGCAGUAGGGGUAGCAGGAAUUCCCAGUGUAGCGGUGAAAUGCGUAGAGAUUGGGAAGAACAUCGGUGGCGAAAGCGUGCUACUGGGCUGUAUCUGACACUCAGGGACGAAAGCUAGGGGAGCGAAAGGGAUUAGAUACCCCUGUAGUCCUAGCCGUAAACGAUGGAUACUAGGCGUGGCUUGUAUCGACCCGAGCCGUGCCGAAGCUAACGCGUUAAGUAUCCCGCCUGGGGAGUACGCACGCAAGUGUGAAACUCAAAGGAAUUGACGGGGGCCCGCACAAGCGGUGGAGUAUGUGGUU
rnacentral:rRNA from 1 species